rnacentral:rRNA from 1 species
CUGCUCCUACCGCAUAACAUACGGGUAUCGCAUGGUACUUGUAUCAAAGAUUUAUCGCUGAGAGAUGGCCUCGCGUCUGAUUAGCUAGUUGGUGAGGUAACGGCCCACCAAGGCAACGAUCAGUAGCCGGACUGAGAGGUUGGCCGGCCACAUUGGGACUGAGAUACGGCCCAGACUCCUACGGGAGGCAGCAGUGGGGAGUAUUGGGCAAUGGGCGCAAGCCUGACCCAGCAACGCCGCGUGAAGGAAGAAGGCUUUCGGGUUGUAAACUUCUUUUAAGAGGGAAGAGCAGAAGACGGUACCUCUUGAAUAAGCUCCGGCUAACUACGUGCCAGCAGCCGCGGUAAUACGUAGGGAGCGAGCGUUGUCCGGAUCUACUGGGUGUAAAGGGCGUGCAGCCGGGAGUGCAAGUCAGAUGUGAAAUCCCGCGGCUCAACCGCGGAACUGCAUUUGAAACUGCGCUUCUUGAGUACUGGAGAGGCAGACGGAAUUCCUAGUGUAGCGGUGAAAUGCGUAGAUAUUAGGAGGAACACCAGUGGCGAAGGCGGUCUGCUGGACAGCAACUGACGGUGAGGCGCGAAAGCGUGGGGAGCAAACAGGAUUAGAUAC